UCACACCUGCCGUGUGCGUAUGAGGGCUUAUGUUUUGAACCUUACGUGUUAUAAGGGAAACAGAUCGGAGUUUCGUGCUGGCAUGCCCUCUUUGAAGGGACGUCAAACACUCGAAACCACAGUUGCCCACCUGCGAGAGCAGGUUCGAAAACACGCGUCCUUUACGGCAUGCGCGGGUUUUAA
rnacentral:other from 1 species